ACACACAAGGCAUCGGUGGAUUUUGGUUGGCAAUCCGACAUAGUGCACGAGUACUCUGCAGGGUCCAAACAGCGGCAUGCUACCUGACAAUCCAUCUGCGUAAGAGCCAGGUUACAUGCUACCAGCCCCUAGCACCAAUGGAGGAGGACCGCCUACUCAUUUGGUGCCAGCAUCGUUUGCAUCAGAUAAAUCACAACAAAGAUAUGGUGACCCAAGACCCACGGUUAUAUAAGGAGGUGUAUGAAGAAACGACAGCAUAGAGGACCCAGCACAUCCCCUCACAGAUUCCAUGCCUUUCAAAAUAUUAGAACAAGAUUUCAAGGCAUUUUCC